AGAGUUUGAUCCUGGCUCAGAACGAACGCUAGCGGCGCGCUUUAAGCAUGCAAGUCGAGCGGUAAGGCCCUUCGGGGUACACGAGCGGCAAACGGGUGAGUAACACGUGAUUAUCUACCCAGAAGUGGGGGAUAGCCUGGGGAAACUCAGGGUAAUCCCGCAUACGUCCUUUUGGAGAAAGCUUUAUGCGCUUUUGGAUGAGAUCGCGGCUCAUUAGGUAGUAGGCGGGGUAAAAGCCCACCUAGCCUUUGAUGAGUAGCCGGGUUGAGAGAUUGGCCGGCCACAUUGGGACUGAGACACGGCCCAGACUCCUACGGGAGGCAGCAGCUAGGAAUCUUCCGCAAUGGGCGCAAGCCUGACGGAGCGACGCCGCGUGCACGAUGAAUGCCUAUUGGGUUGUAAAGUGCUUUUACCAGCCAAGAGGAUUGGGUUUUAGAUCCAAUUGACGGUAGCUGGUGAAUAAGCCCCGGCUAAUUCCGUGCCAGCAGCCGCGGUAAUACGGAAGGGGCAAGCGUUGUUCGGAAUUAUUGGGCGUAAAGGGAGCGUAGGUGGUCGAUCAAGUGG
rnacentral:rRNA from 1 species